AUAGCGUGUUAUCAACAAUGCGAGUGCUUAUCAAAUCAAAGUUCAUAGAAACGAGAAUGCAAUGCGUGUGAUAACGCUUGUAACAUUCAAUAAAUAUUGAGGUAAAACUUAAAUUAAAAUUUAAAUGAGAAAAUAUACAAUGGAAAAUUCUUCGAUACGAGCUGGAUUUUAAACUGAAAUAUUCGGAGUAUUCGUUUUAUAGAUCGAGACUUGUGGCAAGGGCACUGACGGUUGGUGGAAAUGAAGCCGCAGAUCCCAGUGAAAGCCUAUUCGCUCUAUAUUAUGGAAUAUUUAAAUAAAAAUAAUAGGCUCGUACUUAUUUGAAUUUUGCAGCAA